UUUUCCCAGGCAAACAAUUUUCGAGCAGCUCAGGUGUGUAUCGCACUAUCUGUGUUGGAAGCAACAAACAACGAUUCUUCAACCCACAAACACGACAGGUCUAAUUAAGAACUCCUCCUACCCUGGAUAAGAGAGGAGGUGGAAGUCAUCAGUUUGGAUCAGCAACAUUUUCACCACCUUCAGGAAUGAAAACACUGCCUGCAUGGCAAUGAGUGGUGACACACCUGGAAGGGGCAUCCCAGUUGGAGGUGAUUAGCAAUCAGGUGGAGCUGGCAUAAAGGAGGCAGACAGAAAGUAGCGCUGACCCUUUCUCGUGCACUCAAUCAUUGCUUUGUGUGUGUGAGAGACCAAGCAAAAAGUGCUCCUUGAUAUACUUUGCGCUGUUUGCUGUGGGCUCGGCCAUUUUGUUUAGAACUGUGUUUUUUGCCGAGUGUGGCGUGUUUAGUUUCAUAGAGAGGUGUACUCACUCUGCCCAUUUUCUGGGGGGACGUUUGUUUCCCCUUUUUGUAUUUUUCAGCAUUUUUGCUUCAAUAGUUGUUUUACGUCAUGGUUCUUUCACCUAUCAGUUAUUUUUCCUGCUUGGUAACUUUUGUUCCUGCAGUG